GUCGGGGAGGGGGGAAUUCCUGGACAGUUAGCGACGCUUGUACAGUCGCAUUCCCCCAUGAUGGUCUUUUUGUGUGAAACCAGACAGAAGGAAGAGAGGAUGAGGAGAUUGAGAGGCCGUUUGGGACUAAAAGGCUUCGAAGGUGUGGAUAGUAAUGGACUUAGUGGAGGUCUUGCCUUGUUUUGGCAUGAGAGUUGGGUGGUUCAUGUUCAGGACAAAGAUGAUCGAUUCAUAGACGCUACUGUUCAUGUGCAUGCAGAUGCUGAACAAUGGAGAGUUACUUUUGUUUAUGGCGAGCCGCGGGUGGAGAAUCGGCAUCUCGUGUGGCAGAAGCUGCAGUCCUUAUACUCAUCAUCGGAUCUACCUUGGUUGGUGAUCGGUGAUUUUAAUGAAUGCCUCUGGGAUUUCGAGCAUAUGUCAGCCACACCCAGACCGGUGCCUCAAAUGUUUGCUUUCCGAGAUACACUUGAAGUAUGUCAGCUAGUGGAUAUUGGCUUCUCGGGGGUGCCUUUCACAUAUGACGACAAGAGGAGUGGUACAGCGAAUGUACGAGUCCGUCUGGAUCGAGCACUGGCUUCAAUGCAUGGCGUAAUAUAUUUGCUUUUUCCUCACUAA
rnacentral:rRNA from 1 species